UGGAAUGAUACGACAUUCCUUAAUGUGAGUGUCACCUUAAUUCUUUCUACAAAUGGGCUGGACCAACGACCACAUAACAUGAUCCUUUUAAGUUAGCUUAUUAUUCAAAAUUUUUUAACUAGCAGAUUUUGUGUUGAGCAUUGUUUUCCUGAGCAAUCAACGCUGCUUUUUCCCCCUCCUUUCCAGUGUCGUUACUGCUCUCUUGCAAGAAUUACUUUUUCUUCCUUUCCUGUGCUUUUAAUCUCUGCAUGCCCUUUAAUUCUUAACCCUUAAUUUCCCCUUUAGGUUUCUGCAAUCCUGCUUGUGCUGAUAAUCAGAAAAUUAUGUUAUUGCUGGUG
rnacentral:misc_RNA from 1 species